CCCUUAGAUGUCCUGGGCCGCACGCGCGUUACACUGAUGCAUUCAACGAGCUUAUAACCUUGGCCGAGAGGCCUGGGCAAUCUUGUUAACGUGCAUCGUGAUAGGGAUAGAUUAUUGAAAUUAUUAAUCUUGAACGAGGAAUUCCUAGUAAACGCAGAUCAUCAAUCUGCAUUGAUUACGUCCCUGCCCUUUGUACACACCGCCCGUCGCUACUACUGAUUGGAUGUUUAAGCGAGGUUCUCGAACUGCUAGCGACUUAGCUUCGGUGAGGUCGCAGUGUGGGGAGUGAACCUAGCUUUGGUGUCUAGAGGAAGUAAAAGUCGUAACA
rnacentral:rRNA from 1 species